rnacentral:rRNA from 1 species
CCUACGGGAGGCAGCAGCCAGGAAUCUUGGGCAAUGGGCGCAAGCCUGACCCAGCAACACCGUGUGGGCGAUGAAGGCCUUCGGGUCGUAAAGCCCUGUUGAUAGGGACGAAGGGCGAAGGGUUAAUAGCCCCUAGCCUGACGGUACCUUUCGAGGAAGCCCCGGCUAACUACGUGCCAGCAGCCGCGGUAAUACGUAGGGGGCGAGCGUUGUCCGGAAUUAUUGGGCGUAAAGAGCGUGUAGGCUGUUCGGUAAGUCUGCCGUGAAAGCCUGAGGCUCAACCUCGGGCGUGCGGUGGAUACUGCCGGGCUAGAGGACGGUAGAGGCGAGUGGAAUUCCCGGUGUAGCGGUGAAAUGCGCAGAUAUCGGGAGGAACACCAGUAGCGAAGGCGGCUCGCUGGGCCGUUCCUGACGCUGAGACGCGAAAGCUAGGGGAGCGAACAGGAUUAGAUACCCUGGUAGUCCUAGCCGUAAACGAUGGACACUAGGUAUGGGCGGAGUCGAAUCUGUCCGUGCCGAAGCCAACGCGAUAAGUGUCCCGCCUGGGGAGUACGGCCGCAAGGCUAAAACUCAAAAGAAUUGACGGGGGCCCGCACAAGCAGCGGAGCAUGUUCUUUAAUUCGAUGCAACGCGAGGAACCUUACCUGGGCUUGACAUGGAGCUGCAAGCGCACGGAAACGUGUGACCUUCGAGGGUGCUCCACAGAUGCUGCAUGGCUGUCGUCAGCUCGUGUCGCGAGAUGUUGGGUUAAGUCCCGCAACGAGCGCAACCCCUGUGGUGUGUUGCCAGCAUUAAGUUGGGGACUCACACCAGACUGCCGGUGACAAACCGGAGGAAGUGGGGACGACGUCAAGUCAUCAUGGCUCUUACGCCCAGGGCUAGAAACGUGCUACAUGGCAUGUACAAAGGGUUGCAAAGCCGCGAGGUGAGCGAUCCCAUCAAAGCAUGUCUAAGUUCGAUCGCAGUCUGCACUCGACUGCGUGAAGGCGGAGUUGCUAGUAAUCGCGGAUCAGCAUGCCGCGGUGAAUACGUUUCCGGG